UACGAAGGGUGCUAGCGUUGUUCGGAAUCACUGGGCGUAAAGCGCGCGUAGGCGGCGAUAUAAGUCAGAGGUGAAAGCCUGGAGCUCAACUCCAGAACUGCCUUUGAAACUAUAUUGCUAGAGUGUCGGAGGGGAUAGCGGAAUUGCUAAUGUAGAGGUGAAAUUCGUAGAUAUUAGGAAGAACACCAGUGGCGAAGGCGGCUCACUGGCCCGGUACUGACGCUCAUGUGCGAAAGCGUGGGGAGCAAACAGG
rnacentral:rRNA from 1 species